rnacentral:rRNA from 1 species
GACGUAGGGUGCGAGCGUUGUCCGGAUUUAUUGGGCGUAAAGAGCUCGUAGGCGGCUCGUCGCGUCGACCGUGAAAACCCGCGGCUUAACUGCGGGCUUGCGGUUGAUACGGGCAGGCUAGAGUUCGGUAGGGGAGACUGGAAUUCCUGGUGUAGCGGUGAAAUGCGCAGAUAUCAGGAGGAACACCGGUGGCGAAGGCGGGUCUCUGGGCCGAUACUGACGCUGAGGAGCGAAAGCGUGGGGAGCGAACAGG